GCCACGACGGAAACUCAUCUUACUCCUUUGGCUCCGCCCCGUACUGCCAAGCGCCAUCCAGGAGGUGGCAGUAAAGCCCAGCUCGCCGCAAGCCAUUUGCUUUCCCCAAAGGGGAAAAGUGCCCAAACCUGUGAUGAAUCCCACCCGAGGGCUAUUAUGUGUUCUCUCGUCUGUGCCCUACGCGGUCUUCGUUCCGUUUUUUGGGGGUCCAGAGUUGAGUGUUUAAUCUCUUUGAACCUCAAGGAAGGGCUGUAGUAGACGGUCCAUCAGGUGGUGCUGGCCGAAGAGUGGCGCGCCCUAGUGGACAUUGAUAGUUCAACACUCUAGCAGUCCAGUCCUCGGAUAUGAAGCUCAAUGAGAACGGAAGAGACCCAAAACAUGUGGCCUUUGUCUCUGUGAUUGGGUCAGGGUUUCCCUAAUAUUAGCAGGUGGUUGGUGACUCAGAGCUCAGCAAGACAGAAGCAGUGGCUGGUGGAGGGCUAGGCUGGUGAGAGCACGAUGGGAAUGAGGUGGCAAGAGAAGCGGUGGACUACACUGAGAAUCCUGAGUCAAAGUAAAAGAUCUUGGAGGCUGAUGAAAGUAGAUUUGCCUCACGACGAUGAAAUGUGAGCGGAUGGGCGAAGGCAGAGUGGCAGGAAGCUGAUCAUACCACUUCCAGGACUGCUAAUCUGAAAAGGGCGUUGAACAUCUUUGGAAUGAACUGGAAAUGUGGUCUUCAAGUGUGAUUUACAAGCAGCAAAAUCUUUCCUCGGAGGAGCUCCCGCUCCAGAAUCUUCUUCCGGGGAAAUAAUUGUAAUGAGGAGGAAGGCGACCGUGUGGCCAAACAAACGGAUAGAACUGAAAACGGUGGUUGCAGGUCGGAGGGAAGAAAGGGUUUGCAAACCAAUUCUGUGGCUCAGGUGACCUGGAAAGUUUGUAAUCGGGGAAAGGAAAGCGCUAGGAGCAGUGGAGAAAUGGAAUCUAAUGGAAUCCUAAAGAAAGAAGUCUAUGUCCACCUCUGUGGCCCCAAGACACAGCUGACUAGAUGUGAUUAAAGAAUGAAUAGAGGAGUUCCCGUCGUG